UGACGCUUAAUCUGCUGAGCCACCCAGGCACCCCUGGAAUAUGUUGUUUGCAAGCAAAAUAUGUCCAGGUCUUUGGUGAAGUUGCUGGACAUGUCCUCUAGGACACGGGCACUGUACAGUUCGUGUCUCCUCCUCCCCGUGUGUGCACAUAGGUCUGUGCAAGACUACUGGCUCUGGGCCAUGGAAGAACUCUCUCUUUGUACCUGCACUGCCCGUGUUCGUGCUUUGCCGUGCUGAGGCAUCUGCCUGGGAGACCGCCUGCUCAGCCGGCAGGUCAGAGCACUGUGCCAUUUGCUGUAGGAGCCCCGGCAUCACGUGCUCAUCCCAGGUGUGGGCACUUUCCUCGAAGGCCCCAGGGGCUGCCGUGUCCCAUCUGUCUUGGCUUGGCUCCCAGGCUUCUCUCCGUCUCUCUUAUAGGCACUGAGGGCUCCACGAGUGAUGUUUGAGGGGCUGGCCGUGUGCGAACACGGAUGGACAGCUGCAUCCCAGCACCCAGGACACCCAGCAUGCUUCUCUUCUGCAGAAGGUUGUGCCACUGUGGUGAGAAGAGACACGAAGUUUCCACACUGUGAUUUACCCACGGCGUUUGCCUCUGUUCAUUGCUCCAGCGCCUGGAUUCUGGCCACUGCCCUUCUCUUGGGAAAGUUCUGUCUCCCUUCAUGCCACAGUGUGGAUGCACCAUCGUCUGUGAAAGGGACCAAGACUACCCUUUGAUGUUUGAUUCCUUUAAAAUGAACAUCACUUGACAUGGGUAGCUUCUGCCUUACACCCUUGUGAUCUUCAGCUGAUGUCACGGUGAAACUGCGUGUAACUGGAGGGUUAUUGCUGGUUUCCUCUCAUGAACUGUGCUGCGGGAAGCUGGCGUGUCGCGUUAUCGCAGCUUCCACUCCUCUCCAGCUGUAUUCACGCAUGGAAAGUCAUCCUGGAGAGUUGGACACAAUUCCGUGUGUCCCGAGAUCAGUGGACAAGCAGCUGACGGUGGUUAAUACGGGGAACCUGCUCACGCACCUUUCUCACGCUCACAUGCGCGCAGAUGGCUGAAAUCGGACCCCAGAGCCCGCGCCGCAGGGCCCUUCAACAGGUGCGGUGACGUUCUGAUCGUCGUUACAGGAUGCACAGCCGUUGCUGCCGUCAGUUCUAUGCAUCGUUAGUACCCCCAAAAGAGCUUCCCUCCCCAUUUCUCCUCUAACUUCCCAGCUCUAGGGAACCUCCAGUCUACUUUGUGUGUCUAUAGUUUUGCCAUUUUUGACAAAAUAGUGGCAUUUUGUGUACUUGGAGUCACGCCAGCUGUGGGCAGGGGUCUGGCUGCUUUGGCUCCGCACAGCCUCUGCCAGUUCGCCCGUAUUAGUGGGAGGUGUCAGCACCUCGUUCCUCGUGCUGAGUCCUACUCCGCUGUGUGGACGCACCAACUGACUGAUGAAGGCCUGCUUCACGGACAUCCGGCUUGUCUGUACAAGGAACAGUGCUAUAAGUAUUUGUGUCUGUGUGGACACACGGCUCUGUUUCCUCGGGCACAGCCCUGGCAGUGCCUGGCGGAAUCCGACACUAGCUCUGUGUUUAGCCUUUUGAGACACCAUGAGACUUCUCUAGAGCAGCUGCCCCUGUGCACUAGCGCCCGGUGGGGUGCCGGUUUCUCUACAGCCUUGUCAACACUUGUUACUGUCUGUCUUUUUGGUCAUAACCAUCCUCCUGGUUUAGAUUGGCAUUACCCAAUGACUGAAAA